UACGAACUGUGCAAGCGUUAUUCGGAAUCACUGGGCUUACAGGGUGCGUAGGCGGCUUGUCAAGUCGGGUGUGAAAGCCCCCGGCUCAACCGGGGAAUUGCGCCCUAAACUGGCGAGCUGGAGUGAGAUAGGGGUGUGUGGAACUUCCGGUGGAGCGGUGAAAUGUGUUGAUAUCGGAAGGAACGCCGGUGGCGAAAGCGACACACUGGACCUUGUCUGACGCUGAGGCACGAAAGCCAGGGGAGCAAACAGG
rnacentral:rRNA from 1 species